GCAUGUCACAGCAACACAUUAUAAAAAUUAGUUCAGCCAUAAACUCAUUUAAAAUAAUAAAAUGGAUUAUUAUUCAGCUUUUGGGACAACUGUCAGGAUUAAAGUCUUGUAAUCUUUUAAAAAUAUACAGAUUUUCUGUGUGGCAGAUUGCUGCACACAUACUGUGUAUGGGUCCUCUGAGAUGGGCGCAUCAAGUAACAGUUGCUUUGUCAAAAAUGUACAUCUGCACACAUUGACACAAAGCAGCAGCGUUGACAAAGCAGACACAUGUCAUUUUGUCUGCAUAACAAAGUACAUUAAUUAAAAGGAAAAAUACUUAAAAACCCGCAUCCACAUCAGCGGCAACAGCAACCAGAAGACAAAAGCAAUGCCUGCAGAAACGACAUGGACAAAAUGUCUGGGCUACAAUGGGGAAAACAACAGAAAGUCUGAUUAAAAGCACUGGAAAAACAGAUAUUAUAUAAAAUGCUGAAGAGAUUGAAUGGAAAAUAAACAAUACACAAUUCAUUAUUAUUAGAUGUAAAUACAUCACA